rnacentral:misc_RNA from 1 species
GAUGAAGAACGUAGCGAAAUGCGAUAAGUAAUGUGAAUUGCAGAAUUCAGUGAAUCAUCGAAUCUUUGAACGCACCUUGCGCCCUUUGGCCAUUCCGAAGGGCAUGCCUGUUUGAGUAUCAUGAACACCUCAACUCUCAUGGCUUGCCAUGAUGAGCUUGGACUUUGGGGGUCUUGCUGGCCUGUGGUCGGCUCCUCUCAAAUGAAUCAGCUUGCCAGUGUUUGGUGGCAUCACAAGUGUGAUAACUAUCUGCGCUCGUGGUUUCCAUUAGAUAACCUCCAGUGAUGGAGGUUCGCUGGGGCUCAUAAAUGUCUCUCCUAAGUGAGGACAGCUCUUUUAAUGUUUGAUCUCAAAUCAGGUAGGACUACCCGCUGAACUUAAGCAUAUCAAUAAGCGGAGGA